UACGGAGGGUGCGAGCGUUGUCCGGAAUCAUUGGGCGUAAAGGGCGCGUAGGUGGCCCGGUCAGUCUUUGGUGAAAGCGCGGGGCUCAACCCUGCGUCGGCCAGGGAUACUGCCGCGGCUGGAGCACUGUAGAGGCAGGCGGAAUUCCGGGUGUAGCGGUGGAAUGCGUAGAGAUCCGGGAGAACACCGGUGGCGAAGGCGGCCUGCUGGGCAGUUGCUGACACUGAGGCGCGACAGCGUGGGGAGCAAACAGG
rnacentral:rRNA from 1 species